UACAGAGGGUGCGAGCGUUAAUCGGAAUUACUGGGCGUAAAGCGCACGUAGGCGGCUUGGUAUGUCGGGUGUGAAAUCCCCGGGCUCAACCUGGGAACUGCAUCCGAAACUGCCUUGCUCGAGUAUGGGAGAGGGAAGUGGAAUUUCCGGUGUAGCGGUGAAAUGCGUAGAUAUCAGGAGGAACACCGAUGGCGAAGGCAGGUCUCUGGGCAUUAACUGACGCUGAGGAGCGAAAGCAUGGGGAGCGAACAGG
rnacentral:rRNA from 1 species